rnacentral:rRNA from 1 species
GACAGAGGCCUCGAGCGUUAGGCGGAAUCACUGGGCUUAAAGCGUGUGUAGGCGGAAGAGUAAGUACCUUGUGAAAUCCCACGGCUCACCCGUGGAACCGCUGGGUAUACUGCUCUUCUUGGGCCACUCAGGGGCGACUGGAACAAGCGGUGGAGCGGUGAAAUGCGUAGAUAUCGCUUGGAACGCCGAAGGUGAAAACAGGUCGCUGGGAGUGCGCCGACGCUGAGACACGAAAGCCAGGGGAGCAAACAGG